UGGGGAAUAUUGCGCAAUGGGCGAAAGCCUGACGCAGCGACGCCGCGUGAGGGAUGAAGGUUUUCGGAUCGUAAACCUCUGUCAGAAGGGAAGAAGUUGCAUGGGGCCAAUCACCUGUGCAUUGACGGUACCUUCAAAGGAAGCACCGGCUAACUCCGUGCCAGCAGCCGCGGUAAUACGGAGGGUGCGAGCGUUAAUCGGAAUUACUGGGCGUAAAGCGCACGUAGGCUGUAUGUCAAGUCAAGGGUGAAAUCCCACGGCUCAACCGUGGAACUGCCUUUGAAACUGGCAAACUGGAGUAUGUGAGAGGGCGGCGGAAUUCCUGGUGUAGGAGUGAAAUCCGUAGAUAUCAGGAGGAACAUCAGUGGCGAAGGCGGCCGCCUGGCACAAAACUGACGCUGAGGUGCGAAAGCGUGGGGUAGCAAACAGGAUUAGAUACC
rnacentral:rRNA from 1 species